AUUGAACGCUGGCGGCAGGCCUAACACAUGCAAGUCGAACGCGUGGCGGACGGGUGAGUAAUGUCUGGGAAACUGCCUUAUGGAGGGGGAUAACUACUGGAAACGGUAGCUAAUACCGCAUCCCCUCGGAUGUUCCCAGAUGGUCUUCGCUAGUAGGUGGGGUAACGGCUCACCGAGGCGACGAUCUCUAGCUGGUCUGAGAGGAUUACUAGCCAGACUGGAACUGAGACACGGUCCAGACUCCUACGGGAGGCAGCAGUGGGGAAGAUUGAACAAUGGGCGCAAGCCUGAUGCAGCCAUGCCGCGUGUAUGAAGAAGUCCUUCGGGUUGUAAAGUACUUUCAGCGGGUAGGCGUUACCCGCAGAAGAAGCACAGGCUAACUCCGUGCCAGCAGCCGCGGUAAUUC
rnacentral:rRNA from 1 species